UUGACCUCGAAUCAGGUAGGAAUACCCGCUGAACUUAAGCAUAUCAAUAAGCGGAGGAAAAGAAACCAACCGGGAUUACCUCAGUAACGGCGAGUGAAGCGGUAACAGCUCAAAUUUGAAAUCUGGCUCUUUCGGAGUCCGAGUUGUAAUUUGUAGAAGAUGCUUUGGGUCGUGGGUUCGGCCUAAGUUCCUUGGAACAGGACGUCACAGAGGGUGAGAAUCCCGUAUGUGGCCGAGGCCUGCGCCUAUGUAAAGCUCUUUCGACGAGUCGAGUUGUUUGGGAAUGCAGCUCAAAAUGGGUGGUAAAUUUCAUCUAAAGCUAAAUAUGGGCCAGAGACCGAUAGCGCACAAGUAGAGUGAUCGAAAGAUGAAAAGCACUUUGGAAAGAGAGUUAAACAGUACGUGAAAUUGUUGAAAGGGAAGCGCUUGCAACCAGACUUGGGCGCUGCCGAUCACCCCGAGUUCUCUCAGGUGCACUCGACAGCGCACAGGCCAGCAUCGGUUCGGGUGGCUGGAUAAAGGCCGUAGGAACGUAGCUCCCCUCGGGGAGUGUUAUAGCCUACGGUGCCAUGCAGCCCAGCCGGACCGAGGACCGCGCCUUCGGGCUAGGAUGCUGGCGUAAUGGUUGUAAGCGACCCGUCUUGAAACACGGACCAAGGAGUCUAACAUCUAUGCGAGUGUUUGGGCGUUAAACCCAUACGCGGAAUGAAAGUGAACG
rnacentral:rRNA from 1 species